AAGUGAAAGUGCAAAUAUUAAUAAAGAUAUUUUCUUGUGCAGGUCAGGAUCAUUUGUGUGUCCGUGCACGAAAUGCAUUUCAAUUUAAGAUAUUGAACACGUAAUCUUUAAAUGCAAGAAAUAUAAUAAUUUUUAAAAGAUUAAUUUAUAUGCAUUGUAUCAAAUCAGGAUCGUUCAGGUCAGGAUCAUUUGGGUGUCCGUCCACCUUUGCUGGUGCAUGUAUUUUUACCACAGCAGCCUUUGGGUCAGGAUCAUUUGUGUAUCCGUCCACAUUCGCUGAUGCAGGGAUUUACUCUUUUGAAGACGGUGUGCGAUAUUUUGGUGUUUUGUAUGUAAGCUUUAAUAAGUGGAAAAAGUCUAGAGUACUAACCGUUGAUCUACAGAACACCCAAAAAAGUGCUUCGAUAGAACUCUUCAUGCUGAUUUCAACUAUCACUGAAUUAAUAAGGUUCUAUGAAGUGCAAAGUUUCGUUUUGCUGUUAAAAUUAUCAUCGAUUCUUAAUUUUUUGUUUGUUUUUAAUUAGAAAUACCUCGUAAUCUCGCAAAUAAAAUUAAGCAAGUUUACUAGUUGUCUGUGGUAAUGAGGCAAUUACACGUUUAGAUGAAAUUGUGUUUUAUUUCUUAAGUGGUAACGUUUUUGUAUCUUAACUUGCGCCGAGUAAUUUUGGUGUUGUUGAAAUCAGCAUUCAAAGUUCUAUGGACCCAUAUUUUUGGAGGUUUUCAUAACAUAACGGUUGGUUACAUUUUUAAAAAACCAAAUGUAAUCAAGUUAAGCUGAUAAUGAUAUAAUUUUUAAAUGUAACAAAUAUAAUGAUUAACAAGACUGAUUGCAGAAAAUAGUAUAAACAUUACCAAAAAUUUACAUUUUUAAAAAACCAAAUGUAAUUAAAUUACGAUAUUAAAGAAUAUAUUUUUUUUUUGAUGAAACCAAUAUAUUGAUUAACAAGACUGAUUGGAGCAAAAAGUACAAAGCAUUACAAAAAAUUUACAUUUUUAAAAAAACCAAAUGUAAUUUAAUUACGAUAUUGAAGAUCAAACUUUUAAAUGUUACCAAUAUAAUGAUUAGCAAGACUGAUUGGAGAAAAUAAUAGAAAACAUUACUAAAACAUUUAAAAUAAAAAAAACCAAAUGUAAUUGAAUUUAAGAUACUGAACAUGUAAUCUUUAAAUGCAAGAAAUAUAAUAAUUUUUAAAAGAUUAA